AAUCCGACCUGAGGAGUCACAGUUGUGAGCAAGUUCGGUGCCGCGGGCUGGGGUAGGCGGCAGUGGGGUCCCUGGCUUUGGGGCACUGGGAAGAUCGCGAGUGGGAAGGUCCUCCCGCGGUCCUCCGGGUCAUCUUUCCUCCUGAGGAGCAGCAUAUUUCGCAUCUGCCGGAGAUUAGAAUUACUUGUUAUUGGUAAAUAGCCACUAUGGAGACUAAGGACCAGAAGAAACAAAGAAAGAAAAAUAGUGGACCCAAAG
rnacentral:lncRNA from 1 species